GGCCUCCCUACCUCUGAAGGCCUCCACGGUCUGCAGUUCCAGCUCCAGAAAACGUGCCAAGAAGAGAGCUCAGGACCCCAGAGCGGAACACUGGAACACUGGAAGGGAGGGAGACUCCAGCUCAGACAACGGGGUGGGGGUGAAGGAACGGGUUAAGUUUUCUCUUUCUUAUUCUAAAGAAAUAAAGAUGAGAACCAGUAUGCUUGUCUUUCAACUUUAUUGGAAUUCGAGACUAGGGGGAGGGAUGGGGCGAGAGGCACUAUCUCACUUAAGACCCAUAAGUCCUUACACAUGGUUUCAAGGUAGAGGAACUGAGGGGAUAAGAAAAAAAAAAAAAAAAAACCUCUCUGCUAACAAGUGGCACCUGAGAGAGAAACUCUGGGUUCAUUGCCAGCUGGAAGCAGUGUGGUAUUGUUCCCACCAAAGAACCAACUUCUAGACCUAAGCAGCGGAGGCCCGAGGCAGAGGAACUACCUGAGAACUGAGCUAAGGUCGGUUCCUUCCUCCAACGGGAAAAAUGGCCAGGCAGGGGCUGUGCAGACUCAAGCAAGGUCAAGUUAGUCAGGAAGUGUCCAUGCCCCUUACCAGUCCCUGCAGGGUCUGAGCAGGAACCAUUCUGGCCAGUGGCUCCUGCCAGCAGCUUUGAUGCCUUGGGAGAGGCAGCAGAGUGGUCACUUGAGAAGCUUCACAGAGAGGCGGAGCCGAACAUCGCAGAGGAAGAUGUCCAUGAGGUCGCGGCCCACCUCCUGUGCAAUCUGGGAGAUCAAGUGCCCCUUUGGACCAAUGAGGAUCUUCUGAGGGUGGAGCAAAAGAGAGGGCCAUGAGGCUGCUCUCGGGGCUCUAAGUGCUAGAGGAGAACCCCUGCUUAAUAGACCCCUAGUCCCUUCUCCAAGCUUAAUCCAGCUUACCACAUGAGAUUCUUUGGGCACCAGAAGCUUCUGUUCGAUCACCAGCUCCCCGCUUGGCCCUUCCUCCCACACCACUGUCCUCUGCACAGGGAGAUAACAUGAUUAGUCAGACAGGCCUAUACCCCUACCUCUCUGGGCCCCAGAUAGCCUAUUCUGGGUAUGUGGCUGGUGAAGAGCCCCUAGACCCCUUCAUUGUGCCUGCACCUGCUGCACAUUGUAGGGUAUCUCCUGGGGCAGGUGCUCUAGUAGCUUCUCUCGGAUGGUGUUGGCACAGAUCUCCUCGGGUGUCUGGCUGGUGAGGACUCCGCUGUGGAACUCCCAGGGUCCUGGCCGGGCCUGUGCCAGGAGGUACUGCUGUGGGUACAGAGAGGGUACGUGGGGCAGCUCAGUCCCAACCAAGACUUUCCUACCUACUCACUCUUACUUCCGGGAGGAACUGUGAGGCUUGUCUUCAUAUGGUGGAAAUCAAAGGACAGGCUAUGGCCAAGGCCAACUGACCUUUAGUAUUUUCACAUCUUCCUGGCUUAGGGCAGACAACAUGAAGAUCUCCUGGAAGUGGGGCCAGCCAAUCUUCUGAGGGCCUCCCACAGACUGUGUGUUUGGGCCCUUAGCUGCGGGGCCCGGGCGAUGAGUGCCGGCCUGUGAGCGAACAGCCUCCCUCAUCUUGAGCUUCUUGCCAUUGACCACACCUUCAGUGAGGGCUGCUGUGAGCUCCAGGAGAAUGGACUUCUGCUUCAGGCAGUCUACCUGGGCAUGGGGGAUGGGCAGAGGGUGGGGAGGUAGUGAGAUGGGCACCUGGGAGGAAAGUAGACCCCUCCUUCAGGUAGGUGGUGCUCACCUUGUUCAUGACAAGGAUGCUAGGGACUUGGGAGAACUGGGUCAGGCACUGGAGCACUUGGGGGCUGAGCUGGUUCCGAGUCCACUUGUCUGAGACGUCCACAAGAACCACAACUGGAAGUUGGCAGGGUGGGGAGGAGGACAAAGAUAGGACCACUCUCUCUUCACCCCCCAGAAAGAUCCAUGAUAUGGGCUCUGGCCAACCCCCAUCCCCCAAACUACCAGGAAUGAGAGAGGCCAUGACCAUGUAAAUUGGGCUUCAGAUUCCCAUCAUGAGUCUAACCCAUAUCAGCAGAUUCCAUGCUCUUCCACGGAUCUUCCAACAAAGAAAGCUCCAGAUGGUGCCUGAGGGACAAACAUAGGUCAGGAAGGGUUUUAUGACUGAUGUACUCCUGAUGAGGAAGAGGGUAUAAGGGGGUUUUCCAGUCCCGAUGACAGAAUCUCCCCGCCCUCUCCUCAACACCUUUCCCUCUACAUACCCAUUUCCACAGCUAUUACCUUUUCUGUUUAACAGGGCUGAUGAGACCAGGUGUGUCAAGUAGAAUCUAAAAUCAGGAAAGAGAGAUGCCCAGCCCCCCAGAUGGAACACUUAUGACUGGUGAGCGAGAGAAAGGCCAUCCUUGAUGUCAGGAGCCUGCCCCCACUCUUGGCCAAGCUGACUUUAGAUUUUCACCCUCCAGCUUUGUUUUGGUUCUAGAUGGGAUCCAAGAGAAAGAUGAUGACUGUGAAUAUGCGGAAGAUGAGAAAGGAGUGAAGAGGGAAAGAGAUCUUUCUGACUAGAUGCCAGAGGUGGAAGGUAGAGAGAGAACUGCAUGAGGCCUAAUGGCCCUUCCCUCAGAGAAAUGAACCUAAACAUCAUUUUCUGCAUGUCUAACUGUAAGGGGGACCCUCUUAGGUUCACCCUCUGUCCUAUUUGCUGGACUCCCCUUGCAGGUACGCACCACCUGAGCUUCCUUCUCCGUGAUGAUCCCCAGCGCUUGGCAACGAGUGGUGUGCACCUUCUUGGAGACAGGGAACACCUGCCAGAAACAAAGAAGUCCCAAGUGAAAUCCCAGAUCCCUCUAGAACAAUCCAUAAACAGAAAAGAAGUGAGAGAUGAAAAGGGGGCUAAAGAUUGAGCAUACUUUUCGGCCCAGCAGCUGGUUGGAGAGUGUAGACUUCCCUGCAUUCGGGGCACCCAGGAGGACCACUCGUAGGACCCGGGGGUUCUCGGGCAUAUCAGGACGAUGGACCAAGAGGAGAUCCUGUUCAUCUGUGUGGGGGGGUAGGAGGGGGGUGAAAGGUAAUGCAAUAUGGAUCCUGUCAGGUACUCAGUCCUACCCACCCAAGAGGAAGUAAGGAAUAUAAGAUUAGUGUACCAUGUUGAAGCUGAGACCUGGCUUUGAGAUUUAGUUUGCCCGUUAAUUUGUUUAUGUAAUUUUAUUAAGUUCUCUAACUUCUCUAAGCCCCUUAGUUUUCUCACAUGUAAAAUGGAGAUAAUAUUAAACAACACCUACGUA